rnacentral:rRNA from 1 species
GACGGAAGGUGCAAGCGUUGCUCGGAAUCAUUGGGCGUAAAGAGCGUGUAGGCGGUUCGGUAAGUCGGCUGUGAAAGUCCAGGGCUCAACCCUGGGAUGCCGGUCGAUACUGCCGGACUAGAGUUCGGUAGGGGAGACUGGAAUUCCUGGUGUAGCGGUGAAAUGCGCAGAUAUCAGGAGGAACACCGGUGGCGAAGGCGGGUCUCUGGGCCGAUACUGACGCUGAGGAGCGAAAGCGUGGGGAGCGAACAGG